UACGUAGGGUGCAAGCGUUGUCCGGAAUUAUUGGGCGUAAAGAGCUCGUAGGCGGUUUGUCGCGUCUGCUGUGAAAUCCCGAGGCUCAACCUCGGGCCUGCAGUGGGUACGGGCAGACUAGAGUGCGGUAGGGGAGAUUGGAAUUCCUGGUGUAGCGGUGGAAUGCGCAGAUAUCGAGGAGGAACACCGGUGGCGAAGGCGGCGAUCUGGGUCGAUACUGACGCUGAGGUGCGAAAGCGUGGGGAGCAAACAGG
rnacentral:rRNA from 1 species